rnacentral:tRNA from 2 species
GGAGAAGUGGCAGAGUGGUCGAAUGCGGCGGUCUUGAAAACCGUUGUACCGCAAGGUACCGGGGGUUCGAAUCCCUCCUUCUCCG